GGAGAAGCUCAUGGACAUCUUCCUAUGGUUCCACUGUAUCUGGGGUGGUUCUGGUAGGUACAAAUCAGGUGAGUAUAAUGUUCCAAGAACAUCUUUCCUGUAAAGUGAUUUCAUUGGAAAGAAAUGGUUGGGAUUGUGUUAG